rnacentral:rRNA from 1 species
UACGGAGGGUGCAAGCGUUAUUCGGAAUUACUGGGCGUAAAGCGUGCGCAGGCGGUUUGUUAAGUCUGUUGUGAAAUCCCCGAGCUCAACUUGGGAAUUGCAAUGGAUACUGGCAGGCUGGAGUAUGGUAGAGGAAGGUGGAAUUCCCGGUGUAGCAGUGAAAUGCGUAGAGAUCGGGAGGAACACCAGUGGCGAAGGCGGCCUUCUGGACCAAUACUGACGCUCAUGCACGAAAGCGUGGGGAGCAAACAGG